rnacentral:rRNA from 1 species
GUCCUAGCCGUAAACGAUGGGCACUAGGUGUGGGGUCAUCAACUCCCUCCGUGCCGCAGCUAACGCAUUAAGUGCCCCGCCUGGGGAGUACGACCGCAAGGUUAAACUCAAAGGAAUUGACGGGGCCCGCACAAGCAGCGGAGCAUGUGGCUUAAUUCGACGCAACGCGAAGAACCUUACCAAGGCUUGACAUGCAGGGAAAAAGCGGCGGAAAACGUCGUGUCCGCAAGGGCCCUGCACAGGUGGUGCAUGGCUGUCGU